CCCCGGGGCGGCCGCAGCCAAGGGAGCCAAUGGAGCCUGGUGGGCUCCGGGAGAGGCACCCGCGGGAUGAAUCAAGCACCGCUGCAAAAUGGCACCUCCGCGCCCUUCGGGGGUGCGGGGACAGGCGGGGCAGCGACCGGCAGCCCCAGGGGGCAAGGCAGGGAGCGGCUCUCCCCGAUCCCCCCGUCUGACGUGGCCCGUGCACCAGGAGUGCUCUCCAAGCAUGUGUGAACGGUCUUUGCCAGACACAGCAAAAAUGGACUCUUGAUCUGACUUAGUACAGCCAGGAUUUACACCGUGGGGCUGACCACCAUCCUGACAUUCAGGGUGCCAGGAGACCUCUCCCCGUGCACAGCCUGCCUGUGCAGUCAGAGCGCAGCCCUCCCUCCCCUGCCACAGGCUGCAGCACCGCAACUGCUCUCCCUUCUGCAGCAAAGGUGCAUAAAUACUCCUCUGGCCUUUUUCUGCACAUCCUUGCAAAUAUAACAC